rnacentral:rRNA from 1 species
GGGAGCGAACCGGAUUAGAUACCCGGGUAGUCCACGCUGUAAACGAUGAUUGCUAGGUUUUCGGGGCAUCGACCCCUCGUGAGCCGAAGUUAACGCGUUAAGCAAUCCGCCUGAGUAGUACGGCCGCAAGGCUAAAACUCAAAGGAAUUGACGGGGGACCGCACAAGCAGCGGAGCGUGUGGUUUAAUUCGAUGGUAAGCGAAGAACCUUACCAGGGUUUGACAUGUAAGUAGUACUGAACCGAAAGGGAAUGGACCCGCAAGGGAGCUUACACAGGUGUUGCAUGGUUGUCGUCAGCUCGUGCCGUGAGGUGUUGGGUUAAGUCCCGCAACGAGCGCAACCCUCUUUGUUAGUUGCACUCUCUAACGAUACUGCCCUUAAAAGGGAGGAAGGUGGGGAUGACGUCAAAUCAUCAUGGCUCUUACACCCUGGGCUACACACACGCUACAAUGGCAAGUACAGACGGUCGCCAACCCGCGAGGGGGAGCUAAUCCGAUAAAACUUGUCUCAGUUGGGAUUGCAGGCUGAAAUUCGCCUGCAUGAACGUGGAGUUGCUAGUAAACGCAGGUCAGCACACUGCGUUGAAUACGUUCCCGGUCCUUGUACACACCGCCCGUCACGUCAUGGAAGUUGGUAACACUUGAAGUCGUUGCGCUAACCCUUUGGGAGGCAGACGCCGAGAGUGGGACUGAUGACUGGGACGAAGUCGUAACAAGGUAGCUGUACCGGAAGGUGCGGCUG